ACCAACGUUUCAUAAGGGGUUGCGAUCAGUCAUGUUUCAUAAACAAAACAGAGAACACUGUUUAACUGUCACACUGAUUACAGAAGAGUCUCAGCGGCAGAGAGGAGUUUCUGAUGUAGCGUUAUUCUUUUGAAUGAAGAAUACACACUUUACUCGACACUAUGAAGAGACUGUACUUCAUCGAGCCGAUCGUAGCGAUUUACGCGUUUGCCAGUUUUAUGGUGUAUCCCCUCGUGCAGCAGUACGUGUAUCGCAGAUUGUGGCUGGAGAUCACGAACUCAUCUUCCCCCGUGUCCGACAACACUUCCCAGUGCGCCGCCAACAACACCAGC